rnacentral:misc_RNA from 1 species
GUUCCGCUUGGUUAUGUGAUGUAGGUAUCUGAAACUCAGGCAUUGGCCUUUUUUUUCCAAUUUAAACGAUGAAAGGAGGCACUGCUUGAAGAGAAUUAUAUCUAGUCAAGUUUGAUAUUGCCUUGUAAGGCGCGAGUAAAUCGCCAAUAAGCUCUGUCAUCUCCUUCCUCUACAAUAUCUAUGAUGCUAUGAGAGUUCUUGUUUUCCUUCGGCCUUUGUUUUCCUGAUGCUCCGCCAGACAACAGUUGUAAAGAGGCUUCCUUGCUCUUCAGUGGUUAUCUAAGUCUUUCAUGGUGAUAAAAGUUCAGAAAUCCUCUGCACUUUCACCUUUCCUGGCUCUACAAGUCGUCUCUGGCAACGGUGGGUAGUCUAAUUAGCGAGGUUCUGCUGCUGUUGCUUCUUACUUAUUCAGGUCCUG